UACGUAGGGUGCAAGCGUUAAUCGGAAUUACUGGGCGUAAAGCGUGCGUAGGCGGUUCGUUAAGUUCGUUGUGAAAGCCCCGGGCUCAACCUGGGAAUGGCAAUGGAAACUGGCGGGCUGGAGUAUGGCAGAGGGGGGUGGAAUUCCGCGUGUAGCAGUGAAAUGCGUAGAGAUGCGGAGGAACACCGAUGGCGAAGGCAGCCCCCUGGGCCAAUACUGACGCUCAGGCACGAAAGCGUGGGGAGCAAACAGG
rnacentral:rRNA from 1 species